rnacentral:misc_RNA from 1 species
UUAUGCUAUUUAAUUCUCGCUCAGACGGCACCUAUUAACAGAGUUUCGGUUGGCUCCCGGCGGAUGCGAGGUUGGUCGCCCGCCAAAGCAACGAUGAUAUCGUGGGCAACGGGUGGAGAUUCCGGGGGCCGGAGCCCCCGAAGUCGCAUUAAUGAUCCUUCCGCAGGUUCACCUACGGAAA